rnacentral:tRNA from 1 species
UUCCUGGUGGCUCAGAGGUUAAAGCGUCUGCCUGCAAUGUGGGAGAACUGGGUUCAAUCCCUAGGUAGGGAA